CUGUAAAGAUAUGUUGGCCGUAGGGCCAUCUCCGAGUUUUAGGAAGCGGAACAUAUCGAUGAA
rnacentral:ncRNA from 1 species